GUGUGACAAACGGCUCGUCUGAAAUGCCUGAGUGUACCCUGCUUUUGCGGCGUAUUCGGUGUGAUAAAUCUUCGCCGGAGUUUCGACCUUUACCGGUCGGCGCUGUCAUGGUUUGGCUCUAUGCUUUCCAACCGUCCCUGACAAGGACAAUACUCUGACAAUUUGACCUCAAAUCGGGUGGGACUACCCGCUGAACUUAA
rnacentral:misc_RNA from 1 species